rnacentral:rRNA from 1 species
AAAGCCCCGCAAGGGGUAAGUAGAGUGGCAAACGGGUGAGUAACGCGUGGGUGACCUGCCUUCGAGCGGGGGAUAACGUUCCGAAAGGGACGCUAAUACCGCAUAACAUCCUGUCUUUUAAGAGAUGGUGAUCAAAGCCGGGGAUCGCAAGACCUGGCACUUGAAGAGGGGCCCGCGUCCGAUUAGCUAGUUGGUGAGGUAACGGCUCACCAAGGCAACGAUCGGUAUCCGGCCUGAGAGGGCGGACGGACACACUGGGACUGAGACACGGCCCAGACUCCUACGGGAGGCAGCAGUGGGGAAUUGUUCGCAAUGGGCGCAAGCCUGACGACGCAACGCCGCGUGGAGGAUGAAGACCUUCGGGUCGUAAACUCCUUUCGAUCGAGACGAACGGUCCCGGGGUCAAUACCCCCGGGGAAUGACGGUACCGAGAGAAGAAGCCCCGGCUAACUCCGUGCCAGCAGCCGCGGUAAUACGGGGGGGGCAAGCGUUGUUCGGAAUUACUGGGCGUAAAGGGCUCGUAGGUGGCCAACUAAUUCAGACGUGAAAUCCCUCGGCUUAACCGGGGAACUGCAUCUGAUACUGGAUGGCUUGAGUUUGGGAGAGGGAUGCGGAAUUCCAGGUGUAGCGGUGAAAUGCGUAGAUAUCUGGAGGAACACCGGUGGCGAAGGCGGCAUCCUGGACCAACACUGACACUGAGGAGCGAAAGCCAGGGGAGCAAACGGGAUUAGAUACCCCCGGUAGUCCUGGCCCUAAACGAUGAAUGCUUGGUGUGGGCGGGUAUCGAUCCCUGCC